rnacentral:rRNA from 1 species
AGUCGAGGGGCAGCAUGGUCUUAGCUUGCUAAGGCCGAUGGCGACCGGCGCACGGGUGAGUAACACGUAUCCAACCUGCCGUCUACUCUUGGACAGCCUUCUGAAAGGAAGAUUAAUACAAGAUGGCAUCAUGAGUCCGCAUGUUCACAUGAUUAAAGGUAUUCCGGUAGACGAUGGGGAUGCGUUCCAUUAGAUAGUAGGCGGGGUAACGGCCCACCUAGUCUUCGAUGGAUAGGGGUUCUGAGAGGAAGGUCCCCCACAUUGGAACUGAGACACGGUCCAAACUCCUACGGGAGGCAGCAGUGAGGAAUAUUGGUCAAUGGGCGAGAGCCUGAACCAGCCAAGUAGCGUGAAGGAUGACUGCCCUAUGGGUUGUAAACUUCUUUUAUAAAGGAAUAAAGUCGGGUAUGNAUACCCGUUUGCAUGUACUUUAUGAAUAAAGAUCGGCUAACUCCGUGCCAGCAGCCGCGGUAAUACGGAGGAUCCGAGCGUUAUCCGGAUUUAUUGGGUUUAAAGGGAGCGUAGAUGGAUGUUUAAGUCAGUUGUGAAAGUUUGCGGCUCAACCGUAAAAUUGCAGUUGAUACUGGAUAUCUUGAGUGCAGUUGAGGCAGGCGGAAUUCGUGGUGUAGCGGUGAAAUGCUUAGAUAUCACGAAGAACUCCGAUUGCGAAGGCAGCCUGCUAAGCUGCAACUGACAUUGAGGCUCGAAAGUGUGGGUAUCAAACAGGAUUAGAUACCCUGGUAGUCCACACGGUAAACGAUGAAUACUCGCUGUUUGCGAUAUACGGCAAGCGGCCAAGCGAAAGCGUUAAGUAUUCCACCUGGGGAGUACGCCGGCAACGGUGAAACUCAAAGGAAUUGACGGGGGCCCGCACAAGCGGAGGAACAUGUGGUUUAAUUCGAUGAUACGCGAGGAACCUUACCCGGGCUUAAAUUGCAGAUGAAUUACGGUGAAAGCCGUAAGCCGCAAGGCAUCUGUGAAGGUGCUGCAUGGUUGUCGUCAGCUCGUGCCGUGAGGUGUCGGCUUAAGUGCCAUAACGAGCGCAACCCUUGUUGUCAGUUACUAACAGGUUCCGCUGAGGACUCUGACAAGACUGCCAUCGUAAGAUGUGAGGAAGGUGGGGAUGACGUCAAAUCAGCACGGCCCUUACGUCCGGGGCUACACACGUGUUACAAUGGGGGGUACAGAGGGCCGCUACCACGCGAGUGGAUGCCAAUCCCAAAAACCUCUCUCAGUUCGGACUGGAGUCUGCAACCCGACUCCACGAAGCUGGAUUCGCUAGUAAUCGCGCAUCAGCCACGGCGCGGUGAAUACGUUCCCGGGCCUUGUACACACCGCCCGUCAAGCCAUGGGAGCCGGGGGUACCUGAAGUGCGUAACC